UUUAUUGGAGAGUUUGAUCCUGGCUCAGGACGAACGCUGGCGGCGUGCCUAAUACAUGCAAGUCGAGCGGACCUGAAGGAGUGCUUGCACUCCUGAUGGUUAGCGGCGGACGGGUGAGUAACACGUAGGCAACCUGCCCGUAAGACCGGGAUAACUACCGGAAACGGUAGCUAAUACCGGAUAAUCAAGUCUCUCGCAUGAGGGGCUUGGGAAAGGCGGAGCAAUCUGUCACUUACGGAUGGGCCUGCGGCGCAUUAGCUAGUUGGUGGGGUAACGGCUCACCAAGGCGACGAUGCGUAGCCGACCUGAGAGGGUGAACGGCCACACUGGGA
rnacentral:rRNA from 1 species